UCCCCUACGGGGGGCAGCAGUGGGGAAUAUUGCACAAUGGGCGAAAGCCUGAUGCAGCAACGCCGCGUGAAGGAAGACGGUUUUCGGAUUGUAAACUUCUAUCAAUAGGGAAGAAAGAAAUGACGGUACCUAAAUAAGAAGCCCCGGCUAACUACGUGCCAGCAGCCGCGGUAAUACGUAGGUGGCAAGCGUUGUCCGGAAUUACUGGGUGUAAAGGGAGCGUAGGCGGGAAACCAAGUCAGCUGUGAAAACUACGGGCUUAACCUGUAGACUGCAGUUGAAACUGGCUUUCUUGAGUGAAGUAG
rnacentral:rRNA from 1 species